UUCGUCUUAGAUCGUCACCACCACUGCCUCUUGCGAACCGAUCACCACAUGAUCCAUCGUAUCUGCUGUCCAUAGAAUCAUCUUUGCUCUUGUUGGUGUUGUGUAACAGAACCGAGACAUGGAGGAUAGACGAGCGAUGUUGGAGCUGACUCUCUUCAACAUCCCUCGAUGCUGGAAUCUUCACAACCCACCAGAGAUUUACACAGUUACCAUCCAACCCGUACGAAGCCACCAACGUCGAGAUCCUAGCAAGAGACUUGCGCCCCAAGCAUUUUCCUUCCCAUUUUUAUUGGAUCUCUUAUCACUACCACUUGUCUUGAGUGUUAAAGAUGGAUCAAGAGAGAACAACGUUUCUGAAUACUGCCUUUAUUGACUUGAACCAAAC
rnacentral:lncRNA from 1 species